GGAAUCUUGGACAAUGGGCGAAAGCCUGAUCCAGCGACGCCGCGUGACUGAUGAAGCCUUUCGGGGUGUAAAAGUCUUUCGGCAGGGACAAUAAUGAUGGUACCUGCAGAAGCAGCUGCGGCUAACUACGUGCCAGCAGCCGCGGUAAUACGUAGGCAGCUAGCGGUGUUCGGAAUUACUGGGCGUAAAGCGAGUGUAGGCGGUUUGCCAAGUCCGUUGUGAAAUCUCCCGGCUCAACUGGGAGGGUGCGGCGGAAACUGGCAGGCUAGAGUGCGGAAUGGGAGAGUGGAAUUCCUGGUGUAGCGGUGAAAUGCGUAGAUAUCGGAAGGAACAUCAGUGGCGAAAGCGACUUCCUGGACCAAUACUGACGCUCAUGUGCGAAAGCGUGGGGAGCAA
rnacentral:rRNA from 1 species